rnacentral:misc_RNA from 1 species
AUUCAAUUCUAUGGGGCAACCAUGUCUUAAUCUUUGUUGUUUACUAAGAAGAAAAGAAGAAUGUGGCUAUGCAAUAGGCAUUGCACCUCCUUUCUUUGAAAAAAAAAAAAUAUGAAAUAUGCAAAAGAUGUAAACCACCAUUGGUUUUUUUGGAUACUUGUGUCCUCGUGUUAGGGAGGGAAAAAUAUUUCUGCACCGAGUACUAUAUUGUUCUGAUUAAUUGCUUUUAAGAAAUUAGCAUCUGGCCACACGAGCACCCGCCAUCUUUUAGUAAGCAGAGGACCUUUUCCUAGUGCUGAAGGGUUCUACAUUCACCUCCGCAUCUGAGAGAGUAAUAUUGCUAUGAUCUAUAACUUAUUACCUAUCUAGAUCCAACAGCAGAUUUAUGUCCGGCUGACAUUCAAUUCUUCUUCAUUUAAUCCUUCCUUCCCAAUCUUUAAUGUCUUUUUUCAUCUUAGGCUGUACCAUAUGAUUUCUUCAUUUUUUACAUUCAAACCUUUUUUCUAUAAGUUUUAAGUUAUCAUCACAUGUUUUUUAUGGCCUUUGAUGAAUCCAGACUUUUAUUUACUUGUUUUGUAGGGUGUAAUUGAAUGUAAUGAAAUGUACAACUCAACUCAACUCAA